UACGUAGGGUGCGAGCGUUGUCCGGAAUUACUGGGCGUAAAGAGCUCGUAGGUGGUUUGUCGCGUUGUUCGUGAAAACCGGGGGCUUAACCCUCGGCGUGCGGGCGAUACGGGCAGACUUGAGUACUGCAGGGGAGACUGGAAUUCCUGGUGUAGCGGUGGAAUGCGCAGAUAUCAGGAGGAACACCGGUGGCGAAGGCGGGUCACUGGGCCGCAACUGACGCUGAGGAGCGAAAGCAUGGGGAGCGAACAGG
rnacentral:rRNA from 1 species